rnacentral:rRNA from 1 species
UACGUAGGGUGCGAGCGUUGUCCGGAAUUAUUGGGCGUAAAGGGCUCGUAGGCGGUCUGUCGCGUCGGGAGUGAAAACUCAGGGCUUAACCCUGAGCCUGCUUCCGAUACGGGCAGACUUGAGGCAUGCAGGGGAGAACGGAAUUCCUGGUGUAGCGGUGAAAUGCGCAGAUAUCAGGAGGAACACCGGUGGCGAAGGCGGUUCUCUGGGCAUGUUCUGACGCUGAGGAGCGAAAGUGUGGGGAGCGAACAGG